rnacentral:tRNA from 1 species
GCCGGAAUAGCUCAGUUGGUAGAGCAACGCAUUCGUAAUGCGUGGGUCGGGGGUUCGACUCCCUCUUCCGGCA